AUGUAUUUUGAUAAGAUGAUCAGAAUAUAUGCUUCGUUAGAAAUGGAGAAGAACCAUACAUUUAUAAAUAGGCUAAUAGUUCUGUAGUCAUUUUCUUGUACUAUAUGUGGAUGACAUACUGUUAAUAGAAAAUGAUGUUCCUGCUUUACAAAGUGUAAAUCUUUGGCUGUCUUCAUAGUCCAUGAAAGAUUUGGAAGAAGCAUCUUUGACUGUCUUCAUAGUCCA
rnacentral:lncRNA from 1 species